CCCUUAGAUGUUCUGGGCCGCACGCGCGCUACACUGAUGCAUUCAACAAGCCUAGCCUUGACCGAGAGGUCCGGGUAAUCUUUGAAACUGCAUCGUGAUGGGGCUAGAUUAUUGCAAUUAUUAAUCUUCAACGAGGAAUGCAUAGUAAGCGUGAUUCAUCAAAUCGCGUUGAUUACGUCCCUGCCCUUUGUACACACCGCCCGUCGCUCCUACCGAUUGAAUGUGUUGGUGAGGAGCUCGGAUUGGCAGCAGUUGGUGGUUCGCCACCGGCUAUUGCUGAGAAGUCCUCCAAACCGCCCCAUUUAGAGGAAGGAGAAGUCGUAACA
rnacentral:rRNA from 1 species